CAAGGCGAGCAAGCCUCGAGCUGUUUGGUGGGUUGUUAGGAUGCGAGACAUUUGCUGCAGAGUUUGUUGCCGAAGAUGAUCUGCCUGUUUUGUAGAAGAGUCGAGUGAAAAAGUCAGUAAUUCAAUUAAAAAAGACUCUGCUGGAGUUUUUCCAUUCCUUGUGAGAGGGCGUCUUCUGCUUGCUGAGAUGACUGUCGGAGGUUGCAUACAUUCAGAACUUGUUGAUCAGUCAUAGGCUCAAAUUGUGGCCUGAUGAUCUGCCAAAAAAAUGAAUCAAAGUGAUGUAAUCAUAUCAGAUGUGGUGAAGCAAUUCAGCAUAAUAUCAAACUGUUUCUACUUGGCUAA